GUUUGGUUGUGGCUUAUGUGUCCCAUAUCACAAUUCUCUGCUAUUCCCAGAUGAACCCAUUUUUCCUGGAAAAAUAACUGGCGGGGUUUCUUGUCAACAUUCCUUGGUGAUCAUGCAUGGACCCAGAGAAGACCGCACCUCUCCCAGCUGCUGAGCAAACAGGUGCGGGUCCCACAGAGCCCACUGCGCUCACUGCUUUCUCCCCCACCCUGAGCUGGAGGAACUGGACUGUUCCUCUCGGAUCUGUGCCCUUUGGAAAUGCGCUGGCCUUUGGUCUGACUCCUGCUGAAACGGUGUUCUUCGGGACAUUUUCCUUUUUCUUCUAGAGAAAACCCUCUAAGAAAUGGGAUCUCAGUCACCAAAAUGCUUUUUGGGCAACACCUCCUUCUUUUAGUUGUAAAAACCAGGCCCCCUGCUCAUGUGCAUGUCUAAUUAAGUGGACUGAACCAAAAGAGACAUAGAACUUCAGUGGUCCUUCCGGGGACCUUUCCAUCUCCCCCAACUUGUUUUACUCAAAAUUAAGUGAGAAAGUUGUGGUUGCAAAACAACAAACAACCAACAACAAAAACUGAAUGGAUGCCCACUUUAACUGGUACCUGAGGCUUCCAAAGGUUUUCAGGAUUCUAGCUUUGGCUCUUUGCAAAAUACUCCUUCUAAAAUAACUGUGGAGGGGGCGCCUGGGUGGUUCAGUCGGUUAAGCGGCUGCCUUCAGCUUGGGUCAU